CGGGUUCAAGAGCGAUGGCUACUUUCGUUUUCAAGUAAAUCAAAUUUAGACUUAAAACAGUUGUUGCAAAGAAAAUAUAAACUUUUGGAAUUAGUUUUUAGGGGUCGACACUGACCCAAUGAGCCUUAGAAGCGGACCAAGACAGAACCAUCACCCACAUGAGUGAUCUGCUGAAUUGAGAUGGAGGUCCACUAACAGACAAACUUUCUAAACGUUGUCAUCGCUGAACGAAUAUGUUUUACAAUUCCAGUUAAUAACUGCCACAGUGGGAGAUUAUUUUCAACAUUAUCGAGCGUGAAAACUAUCUGAGGCAUACCAUGAGUCAGGAAAGGUUGAGAGCAUUGGGUCUACUGUCUAUUGAAUGUCAAUGCCUCCGAGAAAUAGAAAUCACACAGCUGAACGAUGACUUUGGCCAGCAGAAGUGUCGUUGAAGAGAAUUAUAGGCUGGAAUCUGUUACAUGUAACAUGUGUGUAAAGUUCAGUUAAUAAAAUAGUUAUACAUUAUUUAACUUGUUUUGAUAUAUAUAAUGUAACUGUACAAAAACAAGUUAUCUGAUCUUUGAA